CCUGCCCCUAGAGGCAUUGCAGGUGUGGCUGCUGUGUCCCAAGUGCGUCAGAAGGUGGCAGAGAGGAGAGAGGCUAUGUUUAUGCUCAGUGUUCUGACCGAGGAACAUCUGAUUAGCAACCUAACAUU
ensembl:snoRNA LOC120095444 small nucleolar RNA SNORA17